rnacentral:rRNA from 1 species
AUUGAACGCUGGCGGCAGGCCUAACACAUGCAAGUCGAACGAGUGGCGGACGGGUGAGUAAUACAUGGGAACCUGUCCGAUGGAGGGGGAUAACUAAUGGAAACGGUAGCUAAUACCGCAUACGAUUGGAGCUGCCGAGGUGGGAGUAGCUAGUAGGUGAGGUAACGGCUCACCAAGGCGACGAUCCGUAGCUGGUCUGAGAGGAGGACCAGCCAAACUGGAACUGAGACACGGUCCAGAAUCCUAAGGGAGGCAGCAGUGGGGAAUAUUGGACAAUGGGCGCAAGCCUGAUCCAGCCAUUCCGCGUGUAGGAAGAAGGGCUUCGGGUUGUAAAGUACUUUCAGCAGGGAGGCGGUACCUGAAGAAGAAGCACCGGCUAACUCCGUGCCAGCAGCCGCGGUAAUAC